rnacentral:lncRNA from 1 species
GAUCCGAAGCUUCUGUAAUUCCGUCGAACAUUCGCUCUCUGAGAAGUUCGGCGACAGCACUGGCCGGAGACUCGGAGGUAAUGUCCGAUGUGUUCAGAACGUUGCCAGAAGGAGACAACGAAGGCACAGCAGGAACACCUUUCUCCUUCCCAAUGGGAGGAAGAGCUGGAGAAGGUCCUGUGGCAGCCCUGGAUUUUUUCCGAGCUGGAGAUGGGGCAGAUGUUCCGGAUGGGGCUGGGCGCUUAUCCCCGGUCUUUGGUGGAACGCCCUCAGAUCCCUCAGGCCCAGUCCUCACAGAGGCAGGGGCAUCUUGAGCAGAAACCUCUGAGAUUUGGUCAUCUAGGAGGAUG